GCUGGGUGUGGUGGCUCAUGCCUGUAAUCCCAGCACUUUGGGAGGCUGAGGUGGGAGGAUCACUUGAGGUCAGGAGUUCAAGACCAGCCUGACCAACAUGGUGAAACCCCAUCUCUA
rnacentral:SRP_RNA from 1 species